AGUGAACGCUGGCGGUAGGCCUAACACAUGCAAGUCGAACGGCAGCACAGUAAGAGCUUGCUCUUACGGGUGGCGAGUGGCGGACGGGUGAGGAAUACAUCGGAAUCUACUUUUUCGUGGGGGAUAACGUAGGGAAACUUACGCUAAUACCGCAUACGACCUACGGGUGAAAGCAGGGGAUCUUCGGACCUUGCGCGAUUGAAUGAGCCGAUGUCGGAUUAGCUAGUUGGCGGGGUAAAGGCCCACCAAGGCGACGAUCCGUAGCUGGUCUGAGAGGAUGAACCACCAAACUGGAACUGAGACACGGCCCCAACUCCUAGGGGGGGCAGGAGUGGGAAAUUUUGGGAAAAGGGCGGAAGCCUGAUCCAGCCAUUCCGGGUGGGUGAAGAAGGCCUUCGGGUUGUAAAGCCCUUUUGUUGGGAAAAAAAAGCAGCAGGUUAAACCCCCGGUGUUCUGACGGUACCCAAAAAAAAAGCACCGGCUAACUUCGU
rnacentral:rRNA from 1 species